rnacentral:lncRNA from 1 species
GCGGCGCCCCUCCGCGUGGUCUAUGAUGGUGCAUUUUGGUCCAGUCAGGCCCGGUGUGGUCGGCCUCAUUUUGGAUUACUUCGGUGGGCUUCUCCUCGGCGUGGUUACGGUCUAGUACACCUUAGUGUGCUUUUCUCUGCAUGGUCCUUCCCAGCGUGGCUCGUCUCAGCAGCGUGGUUUUCAUCCGUGUGAUCGUCCUCUGCAUGGUUUUUCACGGUGAGGUCAUAUCAGCCAGCCACCAGCCUCAGCAUAUUUGUCCACAGUUCUUUUGGAGCUGCCUCUGCUCGGAUCACUUGAGCACUACACCUCAGUCCCGACUAGCCAUCCUCAGUGUGCUUUGCUCAACGCGAUCCUCCUCAGUGUUUGUCCUGAGCCUAGACCUCCAUGGUGAGGUCUUAUCUUGUUUCGUCAUGGUGGUCGGCGAUAUGGUCCGAUCUGCCUCAGCAAUUGGGUCACUUCCGUGUGGAUCGUUUCAGCACGGAUCACUCCAGCGCGGUCGGCUGCCUUGGCGCGAUCCACUUGGCUUCUCAGCAUUUUUUUUUAGCCUGCUGGGUUCUCUCAGUUUUUCUUCAACACGCUUCUUUUCCCUCUGUGUGAUUCUACUUGGAGAGCUUUUCUGUUCAGCUUGGUUCCCAGCGCUUCUUUUUCUCGGCAUGGUUCUCCUAGGUAUGGUUUUUUUCUCAGCGCGGGUUUCUUCUCUGAGUCAGCACGGCACAAGUCGCAAGUCCGCGUGGCCGCGCUCAUCAUAGCCUCCCCCUCCUCGCGGCAAGCACUCACGGCCAGAAGCAGAGGUGAUUCGUGCCGCGCUUUCGCGGCUGGGCUCCAUCUUCGUUUUGCCGCAGUGGCUCCGUAUUCGUUUUGCAGUUACGGCUCGGUCCUCGUUUCACGGCCGGUCCUCGUUUCACGGCCGUGGCUCAGUUCUCGUAUUUUGCGUCCACGUCCCCAUCUUUGUGGCCCAGGCUUACAGAAGCAGGGGUGGUCUUGAGGCCCUUUGAGCCCCGAGGUCGGUCGAGUCCCAAGGUGAGUGGCCUAGGACACCGGCUCAGGCCUUCGGAUUCUAAACCCCGGGCCGAGUCAGAACGCACUGGAGCUGAAACCGAAUCGGGUCUGGAGACCCCUGAGCUUUGUAGCCCGGUGUGGCCAGCACCAAGGUAGUGAGUGGACCUUGACACAAACUGAAGGGACGGUCGCUGGCGGCCUGGCAAUCACCAUGAGAGAAGUCAAGGUCCUUGAAGAGCUGGAGGAGAGCAGAGGGGCCAGAGUCUGAGUGCUGGCCACUCCUCCUGAAGCUGUCAGAGAAAAAAAGAGGGGCUUGUCUAAUGGCAUACGAGUGCCAGAGCCAUGAACAAGAGGUUCGGACAGGCUCUGAAAGCAACAAUCUCUAGAGUGUACCCCUUGCAGCAUCCUGUAGCCUGUCACUUUGCCCAUGUGCUGGUCCCAACCCACAUGAUAUACUCUCUGACACACUCUGCUUAUUUCCUAUGCAGUAAAUGUUGAGAGUUGUAUCUCAAUGGAGUGAGAGUCCCAUAAUUGAAAACAAUUUUAAGGGCUGGCGAGGUGGCUCAGUGGGUAAGAGCACUGACCACUCUUCCGAAGGUCCUGUGUUCGAAUCCAAGCAACCACAUGGUGGCUCACAACCAUUCAUAAUGAGAUCUGCCACCCUCUUCUGGUGCAUCUGAAGCCAGCUACAGUGUACUUAUGUAUAAUAAGAAAUAAAUCUUU